rnacentral:lncRNA from 1 species
GCAAAGCUAGUUUAUAUGGAUUAGUUGCAUUUAUAUCUUCUUACAGCUGAUGAACUUUUAACAAGCUGCAUAAGGUUGCAUGCUUGUCAGACAGCAUUACUUAGCUAAGUGAAACACAUUGAGAUUUGAUGCAUACAUAGGCACACACGUUAUACAUGUGGAUGUGAGUGCACAUGCACAUAUCUACUCGUUCUUGUUUUAAUUUUUCAGUUUGUAUGGUGAUGUCAUUUAUUUCCAUCAUCUUACCAUGAAGAAGAAAAGGUUUUAUAUACUCGAGACCAUUACAAAUUACAAGUUCUUGUUUACACUUUGUUGUUAUGUACUAUUAUAUGUGAAAAUCCUCGACUUGCUUGUCUGAUUAAUUUUUUAUUACACAUUUGUUGGCUUUGUCUGAUCUUGGUAACCAUUUGCCUGAUAAGCUCUAAUUUGGAUGUCCUUGUUAGGGAGAGGAAUUAAAGGAUGAAUGUCAUAGACCUAAAACAAUAAUGAACCACUUGGUUGUUCAGUUCUGACAGCAUAUGAUUUAGUCCUGUCUUGGCUUUUCAAAAUUUCAGACAAUCUGCAAGAUGCAAUAGACAACAAGUACAAUAUUAUAGUAACUUAAGCCAAUCUAAGAGGACUCUAUAAAUUCUUCAUGCUGGUUAUGUCAGAUAAUCUGACAAAAGGCAACAAUUUACACCCUUCAGUCCGUUCACUUUGCUUAAC